rnacentral:lncRNA from 1 species
GUCAGAGGGUCCGAUCCGUAGACAAAGGGCGUCGAGUCGGCGCUAGGCUGUCCGUCUCUCCGCUUGCCUCGUCCUCUGGUCUCGUCUGGUCAGUGGUGAUGCUCCUUCCAUCGGGAUCAGAUCGGGAAGUCCCAAAGACCACCAGGAAGCCGAUUCCGAUGUAAGCACACGAGGGCCGUUUAUUCAAGCUCGAGCAGGGGCUCCCAACCGUCACCGACGCAGCGGAUCAGAAUUGAGAGCCCCGAAUUUCAAAUUAGCGGGGUUUUUAUUGUGGUUACAGCAAGGGAAAUGAACGCUGGAUGUAAUAUUACUUUAAGCCACAUCUGAAAUGAAUUGGAAGAUCAAAAGACUACAUAAUGACAUCAAUUGGUGAGGACAUUGAGAUCCAAAGAAUGUUCAUAACUGAACACAAUGCGUCAGUGCUGGGAAUUAGAGAAAAUACAUGUUCUAGGAAGCAUGCAAAUUAUUUCAUUUUAUG